rnacentral:lncRNA from 1 species
GCUCUGAGUUGGCAUAUCGAAACCCAUUCCACAAACCCACCAUUAUGACACGUAAGUUUAAAGUGCCCUUAAUAACAUAUAUCUGAAUGUGCUCCAUGAUGCCAUAAGGCUACUCUCCAUAAUGCCAUAAGGCUACUCUCCAUGAUGCCAUAAGGCUACUCUCCAUGAUGCCAUAAGGCUACUCUCCAUGAUGCCAUAAGGCUACUCUCCAUGAUGCCAUAAGGCUACACUGCAUAAUGCCAUAAGGCUACUCUCCAUGAUGCCAUAAGGCUACUCUCCAUGAUGCCAUAAGGCUACACUGCAUAAUGCCAUAAGGCUACUCUCCAUGAUGCCAUAAGGCUACUCUCCAUAAUGCCAUAAGGCUACUCUCCAUGAUGCCAUAAGGCUACACUGCAUAAUGCCAUAAGGCUACUCUCCAUGAUGCCAUAAGGCUACACUGCAUAAUGCCAUAAGGCUACUCUCCA